rnacentral:rRNA from 1 species
UACGUAGGGGGCGAGCGUUGUCCGGAUUCAUUGGGCGUAAAGCGCGCGUAGGCGGCUUCGUAAGUCGGCCGUGAAAUCUCCGGGCUUAACUUGGAGGGGUCGGGCGAGACUGCGGAGCUCGAGGUGGGCAGAGGGCAGUGGAAUUCCGGGUGUAGUGGUGGAAUGCGUAGAGAUCCGGAGGAACACCAGUGGCGAAGGCGGCUGCCUGGGCCUGGCCUGACGCUGAGGCGCGAAAGCGUGGGGAGCGAUCCGG